rnacentral:misc_RNA from 1 species
AAGAGCACGUUGGCAGAUGCCGCCCCGUUCGCGGUGUGCGCGCGGACCGCCUCGUGACUCCUUUCUUGUGAAAAUUUAAAACGACUCUCGGCAACGGAUAUCUCGGCUCUCGCAUCGAUGAAGAACGUAGCGAAAUGCGAUACUUGGUGUGAAUUGCAGAAUCCCGUGAACCAUCGAGUCUUUGAACGCAAGUUGCGCCCCAAGCCAUUAGGCCGAGGGCACGCCUGCCUGGGUGUCACGCAUCGUCGCCCCCUCCACCCUUUA